GACGAACGCUGGCGGCGUGCCUAAUACAUGCAAGUAGGACGCAGUUGCGAACGGGUGAGUAACGCGUAGGUAACUACCUAGUAGAGGGGGAUAACAAUUGGAAACGAUAGCUAAUACCGCAUACUAGUAGAUGGACCUGCGUUGUAUUAGCUAGUAGGUAGGGGAAUGGCCUACCUAGGCAACGAUACAUAGCCGGCCUGGGGGGGUGGACGGCCAAACUGGGACCGGGACACGGCCCAGACUCCUAACGGAGGCAGCAGUAGGGAAUCUUCGGAAAUGGGGGGAACCCUGACCGAGCAACGCCGCGUGAGUGAAGAAGGUUUUCGGAUCGGAAAGCUCUGUUGUUAAGGAAGCGGUACUUAACCAGAAAGGGACGGCUAACUACGUGCCAGCAGCCGCGGUAAUUC
rnacentral:rRNA from 1 species